GACAUAUUGGUAAACCCAAAACGACACACUGUUGGUUUGACGCCUAAUUUGGGCCAAACGACGUCGUUUUCAUGGGCAGAAGCAUAACUCAACGUUUUCUCUUUGUUACAAAACAAAAACACAAACGUCUUCCUUCAAAACCUAUCUUCAAUGGUGCUACUCUGAGUGAGGUUGCUACAAUGUCUUCCUUCAAAACUCGACUGGUCUCCACAGUUGGCUUUUUUGUCGUCGUUUGUGAGAGUAUUUUCAAAAAAUGAUUUCUCCAACAGAGAUAAGCAAAAGGGAUCUCUCUAGCCAUAAAAGAUGCUCUGUUUGUGGUAUAUUUCCUGCACGAGUUUUGUCCCUUAAGCAAGAGCUUACAGAUGGUCCAGCAGCUUCGGCUCUUUAGGGUUUUAAUGCAUGAAGGCGUCUUUGAUGUCAUCACCCAAAUUUUACAAAAUCAAGAUAAGAAGUUGGUGCUAAUUGGGUAUUGAUUCCUUUUUGUCACCUUGACCUAUUUAUGAUUUAGUUUUAGGUGUUCAUGCAUUUUCUAUGUUUAAUUUCUAAUGUAAACUUAUUAUGGUGAUUGCAUAACAGAUAUCCUGAUUCUCUUUUUGAAUCAAGUUCUUAAUCUUUUGCGAUCCUAUGUUAUUCGAUAGGAAGGAAUAAUACUUCUUGGACUUCUAGUAUGCUUUUUAUGUGAAUAAGAUUUUUCUUAUGACAUGAAUGUAUAAAAUUACUCAUAAGACAUUUAUUAAACAUAUUAUUCUGUACCGGUUAAAGGAAUGAUAACAAAUUUUAGGGACAAUAUGCAUUGCCAGUUUCUUGAGAUCCUUUACUGUUUAUUGAAUUCAUGUACAUUAUUUAGACCACAGGUACCUGUUAAUAAUAUUUUCUUUAAUUUUAAUUGUUUACCCGUAUUUGAUUGCUAUGGAUAUGAUAAUAAUUGUUAUAUAUGACAUAUUUA